CCUGGCGGCCGUAGCGCGGUGGUCCCACCUGACCCCAUGCCGAACUCAGAAGUGAAACGCCGUAGCGCCGAUGGUAGUGUGGGGCCUCCCCAUGUGAGAGUAGGGAACCGCCAGGU
rnacentral:rRNA from 1 species